UACGAAGGUGGCAAGCGUUGUUCGGAUUUACUGGGCGUACAGGGAGCGUAGGCGGUUGGAUAAGCCCUCCGUGAAAUCCCCGGGCUUAACCUGGGAAUGGCAUUUGGGACUGCAAGGCUUGAGUGCGGCAGAGGAGACUGGAAUUCCUGGUGUAGCAGUGAAAUGCGUAGAUAUCAGGAGGAACACCGAUGGCGAAGGCAGGUCUCUGGGCUGACACUGACGCUCAUGCACGAAAGCGUGGGGAGCAAACAGG
rnacentral:rRNA from 1 species